rnacentral:lncRNA from 1 species
GAACCCAGCCUUUCCAAAGCCAAGGCACACUAGAAUCGAGGCUAUUUUGGUAGCACCCUGAGGGUGUUGUACGAGGGCCCUGGGGUGUAGAAGGACCCACUGAGGAUCUAGCAACCCUGGACAGAAUGGCCUAAGUUUAGAUAGGACCAGUGCUCUGUCGUGAAUGGAGUGAGGACCCAAACCUUCAGGGUUAAUGAGAGAGCUCAAAACACGGUAUGCAGAACCACUGGGGUACUGGGCCUGGGUUCUUUAAGAAGUCAGGCUGAGAAAGUCAAGGGGAGUGGCCAAUAAAGACCAUCCCUUCAUG